GUACAAGCACUGAAAAAAAGAAAGGAGAAGAGUAUUGAUAAAACCUUGCAAACUUUCUUUUGGUCGGUCAUCCUUAAUGGUCAAUAUUUAUUGUGUGCAAAAGGUGGGACCCAAAAAUAAAUUGGAGUAUUGAACAAAAUUAUAUUGUGACCUGAAACUUUUUAGUUGAAGGAUCAACAAUAAAAAAAGCUUUGCUAUUUUUACAGCUUUGUUUUGAAAUUGCCGCUAAGAGUUGUAAGACCAAUAAGAGUUGAAUAGUCACAUUAAAAAUUUUGCGUCUUUAAGUCAACAGACAACAUUAUUUAUUUCAUAAUUAAUUAAAUCAAAUUGUUAUAAUAACCAUUUCCAUCAACAGUUAAUAAAUGAGUUAUCCUAGUUUAUGAUUUACAAUUCUUUCAAACCAUUUAUGACAAAUAUUAUUUUUAUUUUUAAUCCUUUUGUUUCUUUACCAUUUAAACAUCAAUCAUAUUCACCAUCAAGCUCACUGUUGGAUCGGUGUAUAACCUGAGCUUACUCUUUUUCAAAUUAUUUCAUUUUUAAUUAUGUGUUUACAAUUAUAUCAACCAUUUGUUUAUAUUAUGGUCAGCUUAAAUUAGUUUUUUUAUGCCUUCAUAUCAAUUAUAUUAGCUGUUAUUAAAAACUAACAAUGUUGUGAAUGAAAACUAUUGGUUUCUAGAUACAUCCUAUAAGUUUACUGUUACAUUUGGUGACUUUGUUGGCUCAUCGGGAACAAGAUUUAUUGACGCUGUUAGUGGUUUUUCAAAUAGCUAAUGGGAAAUGCAAAGUAAAAGCUAAAAUAAAGAAAGAUCAUUGAAAAUACUAAUAAAAAGGUGCUCAUCAAAGGCAUAUAUACUUAUAUACCUGUGUUGGGACGAGUAAAUGUUCUAUGAUGGUCAAUGGUAACUAUUUCGUAUCCAAAUGUAAAUAAAAGUUAACUUGAAUACAGUAGAUGUGGAUGGAUGGAUAAUUUGUAAGACUUUAAUGCAGCGGUUUUUAACAAGAAGGAGAAACAAUUGUAAUCAGAAUGGUGUUAACCUUAUGCAGAUUAAACCUUAAACAAGCAAUACAAUUUAAUUGAUGAUUGUAAACAAGAAGCAAGUCAAGAGGCAACAAAUCGAUAAUUGAUGACACUAUUUCCGAUAAUCGACUUUACUCAUUUCUCAAUCACUCACACUCAAUGAAACCAAUAUGAGACGUCCAUUUCUUACCUGGUGAAUGUUAACCUCUAAAUUUACCUGAUCAUUGAACUCGAUCAUUAGAAUCAGUCUCAAAAACUAUUCCAUAAAUUAGAGGCAAACAUUGGACUCAAGACAUACAUGGUGCUGGCAAAAUAUUGAAGAUGCUUGCCAUUUCAGAGAAAACAUUUUCCUUAUGAAGUUGACUAAUCAUUUCCAUGCGAUUUUGAUGUCAAGAAUUGCGCAUUCUCAAGAUGGAAAAGACGACCAAAUGGAUGGAUGAUGAAGAAGAGGACAAAGUCAGCUAUUAACUGCUAUAAACAGCUCAAGGCAAAGCGCAUUCAUUCAAUAAUAUCAUCGAAAUGAUCUUAAUCCUGUCUAAUUUGUCUUUCACUUUAACUUCAGUUUCUUUGCUAAUCCAUUUCAACAACUUUAAUUGAAUGCGUAUAAAAAACUGAUUCAACUUACGUCAACCUACGGCAAUUAACCUAUGUCAUUUAUAACAUUUUUAUCAUCUGAAUAACUUAACAAAGUCCAGCCUGAAGCUCAGUUAUCCCAGUGAAUUCAAUCAUUUUCCCUUUUUUUUCUCUUGAUUGUCACACAAAUUUAAAUUUAAAAGGAAGUUAUCAUCAAA